GAUGAACGCUGACAGAAUGCUUAACACAUGCAAGUCAACUUGAACUUCGGUUUGGGUGGCGGACGGGUGAGUAACGCGUAAAGAACUUGCCUCACAGAUAGGGACAACAUUUGGAAACGAAUGCUAAUACCUGAUAUUAUGAUUUUAGGGCAUCCUAGGAUUAUGAAAGCUAUAUGCGCUGUGAGAGAGCUUUGCGUCCCAUUAGCUAGUUGGAGAGGUAACGGCUCACCAAGGCGAUGAUGGGUAGCCGGCCUGAGAGGGUGAUCGGCCACAAGGGGACUGAGUCACGGCCCUUACGCAUACGGGAGGCAGCAGUGGGGAAUAUUGGACAAUGGACCAAGAGUCUGAUCCAGCAAUUCUGUGUGCACGAUGAAGUUUUUCGGAAUGUAAAGUGCUUUCAGUUGGGAAGAAAAAAAUGACGGUACCAACAGAAGAAGUGACGGCUAAAUACGUG
rnacentral:rRNA from 1 species